UCGCUUCCCUAAGGAAGAGGAAAGUCCGGGCUUCACAGGGCAGGAUGCCGGAUAACGUCCGGCGGGGGUGACCCCAGGACAAGUGCAGCAGAAAAUUACCGCCAGAUGCAUAAUCUGGUAAGGGUGAAAAGGCAGCUUAAGAGACUACCGCAUGGCUGGUAACAGUCAUGGCUUAUGUAAACUCCAUCCGAAGAAAGACCAAACAGAAAGCCCGUCGGCGGCCCGUCGCUUGUGCUUUCAGGUAGGUCGAUUGAGACCGGUGGCAACAUCGGUACUAGAUAGAUGAUCAUCUGAUACAGAACCCGGCUUACAGUGGCUCUC
rnacentral:RNase_P_RNA from 1 species